ensembl:lncRNA
GGAGAGAGCACCUGCGGAAGCCUAAAAGACAGCAACACUGACUCACCACAGCUGUAGACAUGACCAGAUAAAGGACUUGGAGUGCACAGGGCCCUAGGGCCUAGCUGGCAUGUCCUUGGCCUUGGCUGGGUCUCCUGAAGCCACUGCUUGCAAAAACUGCAAGGAUACCUAUAUCUGCAGGUACCUACUUAGAAGCCUUGUCACCUCUCUCUGCAUCAGACCAGCACUCUCCCCACCUUAGCAAUGAAGAAAUUAGAGCUCAGAGAGGGGAAAGAGUUUCAUCCAAGUAGCUGAGCCAACACCACCUCCAGUGCACUUGCAUCUUUCAGUUGCCUCCCUCGUCGAGAGCUCUCUGGAGGCAUCUUGGCAUCAACCACAAAAAGGCUGGAGUGGUGUCCUCUCCACCUAUAUCAAGGGAUGAACGAACCUUCUGGAAAGUUUUCCAAGACUACUCUGUAUUUCCCACUGGUGUCUGAUAAAUCCCAGUGGAGCCAGGCAGGGAGAACACAUUGUUCCUGAGAUCUCUGGAUGUUUCCAGCAAAAGCAGUUUCCACACCGGGGAAGAGAGUUCACUGUGCACAGCCCAGAGACAGCAACCAUGGGUGGGGUACGAGGUGGCCCUUUGCAGGCGGCAGGGGAGCAGCCAGCAUCAGGAUGGUUUGUCUCAGUAGAAAAGGGUAUUUGUCUCCUUUUUCCAGACUGUCCCCCCUCCACAGUGUCCAUGUGGGCCUUCACCUCUCUCAUGAAAGAUGCUUUGGAAAGCUAACAGUGUUGCCUUGGCAACAGCAGCAUCAGCAUCUUUUGAUGGAGCAGCCCUUCAGAGAAUGGAGUCUGAUUCAGGCCACAACCAGCAUAAAUGUGUUACUUCUUGUGUUAGAUUAAUGUGUAACGUAUCCUAUGAGCUGCUGUUGGAUGUGUCCAGAGGGCAGGGAAGUCCAAUGGCCUUUAGCAUCCCACACUUUCCUACCCUCCCCUGUAAGACCUCUCUGAGCCUCACUUUCCUCAUCUGUACAAUGGAGAGACUGUGAUCUAGUCACAGGGAAGUCGUGCAGGUUCAGGGCAGUGGUGAAUGUCCAGGCUUGGCACGUUCACUCGGGAAUUUAUUCAUUCAUGCACGUAUCCAUUCAUUCAUAUAGCGAGUAUGUACUGAGGACCUGCCUGGGCCAGAGCCUGCCUCAGUGACGGGGAGGGAGCAGCAAACAAGACAGACAGACAGCCACAGUCCAGACAUCAUGGUGCUUAAGAGACUAAAGGGAAAGACUCACCAAAAUCAAAAUUUUUUAAAUUUAAAUUAACUGAUUAGUUAAUAUAUUAUAAGUGAAGAAAAUAAAUAGGAGCCAUAGGUAAAAGAUUUCAGAUGGUCCAACUGGGCAGGAUGAUCAGGGAAAGACUCUGAAGAAAGUCACUUAAGUCAAGGACCAAAUGUGAGAAACGGCUGUCAGGUGAGGAGCUGUGGGAAGAGCUCUCCCACUAGAGGGCACAGCACGUGCCAAGGCCCUGGGGUGGUCAUGAGGAACGGUAAAGAAGUUAGUGCGGAGGAGUGAUGCCGCUGAGCCAGUGCUGCCACUCCCCAGUGAGCUGGGGAGAGGUGGGAGAAGGUGCCCCCAGCACCUUUAUCAGAGAUCAACUCCUUGCCCAGUGCCCACCAAAAGCUGGACUCAGCAUCACUCUGAAUGGACCUGCGGAGCUGAGGCAAAACCCUGCCCCUCUCUGGACCUCAGUUUCCCGAUCUGUAAAAUGCAGGAGAGGGAUCACCUCUAUCUGAAAGUCUUUCAGAUCCUGGGUCAAGGGCCCUGGAGGGCCCUGUGUCCACUGCCCUGAGCCACCAAGGGAAUCAGAAGGAGGCAGAGAAAAUAAAAGGCUUGCCCUUGGGCUAAAUGGGAGUUAGGGGGUCAGCCGGGGGGGCUUGUGUGGGAAUGAGGGGCUUUAACCACGUGCCUCCUCCUUGUUAGUUCUACACGCGUCGUUUCUGACUCUUAGCAGGUUCUAUUG